rnacentral:rRNA from 1 species
GGAUCACAYUAUGUGACAUAUCAUUCAAGUUUCUGACCUAUCAGCUUUAGACGGUAGGGUAUUGGCCUACCGUGGCUAUGACGGGUAACGGGGAAUUAGGGUUCGAUUCCGGAGAGGGAGCCUGAGAAACGGCUACCACAUCUAAGGAAGGCAGCAGGCGCGCAAAUUACCCAAUCCUAAUACASSSAGGUAGUGACAAGAAAUAACAAUACAGAGCCUUACGGUUUUGUAAUUGGAAUGAGUUAAGUAUAAACCCCUUAACAAGUAUCAAUUGGAGGGCAAGUCUGGUGCCAGCAGCCGCGGUAAUUCCAGCUCCAAUAGCGUAUAUUAAAGUUGUUGCAGUUAAAAAGCUCGUAGUUAAUUUUCUGUUAAUUUUUAUAUACAAUGCUACGGUAUUUAUAUAAUAUUAACAUAAUUCAUAUUACUUUUUUHNAWWUUAHWHUUUAGUAUAUGAAACUUUACUUUGAGAAAAUUAGAGUGCUUAAAGCAGGCUAUUGCCUUGAAUACUCCAGCAUGGAAUAAUAUUAAGGAUUUUUAUUCUUCUUAUUGGUUCUAGAAUAAAAAUAAUGAUUAAUAGGGACAGUUGGGGGCAUUUGUAUUUAACAGUCAGAGGUGAAAUUCUUAGAUUUGUUAAAGACAAACUACUGCGAAAGCAUUUGCCAAGGAUGWWYYCAUUAAUCAAGAACGAAAGUUAGGGGAUCGAAGACGAUCAGAUACCG